UUGACCUCGAAUCAGGUAGGACUACCCGCU
rnacentral:rRNA from 3 species